GGUAAGAGGAAGAAAACUAUUACAAGCCUGUCUCCUUUUUCCAGGGUUGAAGCUAAUUUCGGUCUGCUCUCCUUCCCUGUCUGCAUUUUCCUGAAGGCUGGAGGCUGCCUAGUGCUGAAACCUCUGGAUACCCUCUCCCAAAACACUGCCUUCUGAGGGAGCUGGGGCUCGGUGCUGCAAAUUUGGCCUUGCUGAUGCUAGCUGGAGAAGGGCUGGACGGGCUCAUUAACUGCAUGUGCCUGCAGAACAGCACGUCCUGAUGCCCAGGGUCCUGCAAAGGACUGAGCCAUUGAGGAGGAAACAUGCUUCACAAGAGUACAUCACAAGAUAAAUAGCAUGCUUUUACCUUGAGCAGCUAGUUAAAGAUGUAAAGCAUGGAGCAAGGGAGCUGUGGCAUUUGGAGGCUCCGUUUUCUCAAGUGAUGAGCUAUAUUCCAUCUGUGAUCAACUGUGCUUUCUGUUUUACAGUAUCUUCACUCCAUCAUGUGCUGUUUCAGAUAUGCCAAACUGUUGAUGCCUGCUGAACUGGACACUGCACAUUGCAUAUUGCAAGUAUAUUCAGGUAACACCUACAACUCCACAAAAGCACUGGUGCUUUAUUCUGCUGCAGAGGCAGAAAAUUACAGAGACAUCCACCUCCCACACACUUCAUAAUCUGGGACUUCACUGAACCUGGAGCAAAGGCUGUGAAGAGGAGAAAGACUCAAUGACAGUGACUACAGGUGCACACUUAGGUUAUUUGCUGUGGCCUAUAUAUUUACAGGUGGCCACCAGAAUAACCACUCCCAGAGGGUGGUGAUUUGUAGGGAUGAAGGAAAAAGGAGGAGUCCAAAGGGAUAAAAAUCAGUAACUGCUUGAGAGAUUAUACUUUAUUUGGUACAGGAUGGCUUCAAUAAUCCAAGAGGAAGCUUUACUACACCUUGCUGGAAAUUCCUUCUGGCCGUUUGACAAUGCUGAGAUUUUAUUAAACCUACUGUGAGUUUGAGCCUUCUGAUUUUUUUUUUCUUUGAACAACCUUUCUUCCUCCUAAAGGUUGUUUGCUCACUUGUCCAUAGCAGAUACUCACUACCUGCCACUCUCCUGUAGAGCUAUAAUUUUGCCAGAGUUAU